GACGAAUGCUGGCGGCGUGCUUAACACAUGCAAGUCGAACGGAAAGGCCCUGCUUUUGUGGGGUGCUCGAGUGGCGAACGGGUGAGUAACACGUGAGUAACCUGCCCUUUACUUUGGGAUAACUUCAGGAAACUGGGGCUAAUACCGGAUAGGAGCUCCUGCUGCAUGGUGGGGGUUGGAAAGUUUCGGCGGUUGGGGAUGGACUCGCGGCUUAUCAGCUUGUUGGUGGGGUAGUGGCUUACCAAGGCUUUGACGGGUAGCCGGCCUGAGAGGGUGACCGGCCACAUUGGGACUGAGAUACGGCCCAGACUCCUACGGGAGGCAGCAGUGGGGAAUAUUGCAAAAUGGGCGGAAGCCUGAUGCAGCAACGCCGCGUGCGGGAUGACGGCCUUCGGGUUGUAAACCGCUUUCGCCUGUGACGAAGCGUGAGUGACGGUAAUGGGUAAAGAAGCACCGGCUAACUACGUG
rnacentral:rRNA from 1 species